CCGUUGACUCCAAAAUGAUGGUUAAACGUGCUUCAAGAUUAAUUCUCCAUUCACUGCACACUACCACAUUAUUUACUGUAUAAUAAGCUAUCGAUAUUACACUUUAAACAAUAUUAAUGAGCAAAAAAACAAAGGAAAUAAUCACGACGCGUGACUGCCAAGAUGGCGCUUGAACCGGAAGUCCGAUAUAGACCUCGACGACAAAAUAGAACGGCACGGCUACAAUAAUAAUACAAAUAAUAAAAUUGUCUCUGGGCCGAUCGCUUGGAAAUAAUAAUUCGGAAGGAAGUUGCAAUAUUUUCUUACUGGUAAGGGAAAACCACCAAUGAUCGACACUUUUAGACAGUGUUUGACAUAAGUACUAUAGGUCAAAGUGACAGGAAUUAAUUUUGAAUAUAGAGAAAAAAAUCGUUCUUCAAACUUAAACUAUAUUAUUACUUUGACAUAAGUGCCAUGUCGAACAUUGGUGCAGCGUCGAUCAUUGGUGCUUUUACCUUAACCACUUUCUUGUAAAAUAUCUCCGAUACCGGCUUCCUUUCGAUUUAAAGGAGUUUAACAGCUAGUAAACUUCAACAAAAAUACAUAUUCAAUUAAUAACCAACAACAAAGCACAGACAGCCCUAGAAUGUCCAAUAAUAGUCCAGUUGGCACUUGGCUCAAUCGGCUUUUAAACAACAAAUUAACUACAAUUAUUUUAAUAAGUAAAAUAGCAUUUAAUAAUAAUUCAAAAAUUGUCUGGCAUGCCGGAUAAACCAUAUUUAUUUUAUGUACAUGAUGUAUGACAUAAAUAAAUAAGUUAAAAUUGUACUACAGAAAUAACUAUACAUUGUACAGUUUGCACAGGGUUGACGGUUAAUUACUGUCGUGUCUGUCUUAAUUACUGUGGUGUUCACAUAUUGUUUUGAUGUGAUGUAAGUCUUACAGUUACACCAAAUUAGAAUAAUUCUCAGGACAAUAUAAUGUGCAUAGAGUUCUCUGCAAAUACUGAAUAGUUCACCGUAAUAUUACCUACGGGCCAUUUUAAAAUUUGUUGCGAAUCUAUUAAAUUUACUAGCCUCGCAGUAACAAAAACAUUUAGUCAUAUUGUAAGUUGGGAUCAGACCCGACAUAAAUUCUAAAUAAUAUUAGCAAUAGCUAUGUUAUUUUUGUAUGUAAACUGCAACAAAUUUUAAAAGGGCUUUUAAACCUAAGAAUGAGUUAUAAGCAAUUAAUGUUGGUAGUUUGAUAAAAUUGUUUGGCUUCAUUUAAAUUGUUUAAAAAUUGUUUUGGCUUGUUCUAAUAUUUUUAAAUAAGUUUGGUAAAUCACUAUAGAUAAUUUUAAGAGUCGUUGCUUAGGGUAUCGAUUAUAAGUAGGUAUUGUUGUUUUAAAUCCAAACUCUUAAAGCUUUAUUCACUGUAAGAUAUAUCGGUAAUUGUAAAAUUGUAUAGAUUUCGUUUGAGUUGAUUUCACAACGGAGCCAAUUGUGAGGCCAUUUGGUGCACCCCCGCGUCCUCAUACAUUCCUUGCCGAGUUCAAAAGAAUAUUGAGAUGUAUUUGUUGGGUGCUUUUAUAAAAACUGUGUUUAAGAAAAUUUUGUUCUUGAUAAUAAUUGUGUUCUAAAACCGGCAGGCAAUGCCCCUUUUUAAAUAGCUGUAAAUAGUUGAAAGGCAUAAGUGUAACCUGCUGUGCUAUUUUCGAAGUUUAGAACACAAGGGACAGUGGUGUGUUUCUGUAUUAGAUGUUACCAUAGACAAUUGAAUUAAUAGACUUGCGCAUUCUAAAUAAAAUUUGAGCUAGAAUAGUAUGUAGUUUCACUGGGCAGCACUGAUAUUUAGUGGUGACUAUAACGUCAACCUUUUUUUUUUUGGAUUUCGCAAGUGUUAUAUUUCAAUUGUCUUUGAUGUUACGGAACCUGGGUUCCAUAGUUAAGCUAGUGUUAGCCUGCCCGUUUGCCGCUAAGCGAUAUGUAAAUAUUAUGAUAUAAACAGGGCACUGAAUAGUAACUAAUAGACUGGCUACAAAUUAAUUAUUUGAAUCUCUAAAAGAGAGUACUUUCUGUAUCAAAAUUCCUUAACAUACAAGAAAAUGUGAUAACAUUGGAGAUUGCAUGGUGUGUGUUGUUGAUUCUGCGUGACCCAGGUGGAUAUAGAAGGAGGAUUGUUUUGCAUUGUACUCUCUAAAUUGCUCAUAUACCUAGUUAUCUAGUAACAUGUACGUGUUUAACAAGCUACAGUUUUACACGAAAACAAGACUUUUAAUUUUUUAUAUGCGUGUAUAUCUCAUAAUUUUUGCCGUUUUUAAAAUUUUAAAUUGGAGCUUUCUAAAGCCCUACUAUUAAUAUAUAUGAUAUUAGUAUAUUUUAUAAUAUGGUCGUAAAUCAACAGUCCUUCUUCUAUUCCAUCUCAGUGUAAAAUAGUAAAAAUAUGCAUUUGCUUGUGUCAUAACUUUUAAAUUGGAAUGUUGGUAAAUUAAUGAAUUGUAGGCCGAGUUCGGACAUAAUCAAAUUGGUUAUAAAACUAUUGUGUAUAAAAGAUGUAUUGGUUAUUUUGAUUUGCAUUGUGUUUAUAUUGAUCCGGACUGGGUGUCGAGUGAUUGGAUGUUCGGUUGAAAGGGAAGCCAAAGCCUUCUUGUUAGUAGUUAAGUGUAGGUUUAAGGGGCGUCUCCAUUCGAGACGAGAUGCGCUUGAGAAAUACAAAAUGUCUUGUAUAGUAUGAAAAAUAAAUGUUAAAAAUUCACGAGUCA